rnacentral:rRNA from 1 species
UCCGUAGGUGAACCUGCGGAAGGAUCAUUACACGAUUUCGGUUAACACCGUUUUCACCCUUUGUUUAUACGUACCACAUGUUUCCUCGGGGGGCUUGCCCCUCGUUAGGACACCCCAUAAACCUUUUUGUAAUAGCAGUUAGCGUCUGAAAACUAAGUUAAUUAUUAAAACUUUCAACAAUGGAUCUCUUGGUUCUGGCAUCGAUGAAGAACGCAGCGAAAUGCGAUAAGUAGUGUGAAUUGCAGAAUUCAGUGAAUCAUCGAAUCUUUGAACGCACAUUGCGCCCCUUGGUAUUCCAUGGGGCAUGCCUGUUCGAGCGUCAUUUGAACCCUCAAGCUUUGCUUGGUGUUGGGUGUUUGUCCCGCCUUUGCGUGUGGACUCGCCUUAAAGUCAUUGGCAGCCAUGUAAUUCGGCUUUGAGCGCAGCACAUUGCGAUCUCUCUGCUGGUACAUUGGCAUCCAGAAGCCUUUUUUUUACGCUUGACCUCGGAUCAAGGUAGGGAUACCCGCUGAACUUAAGCAUAUCAAUAAGCGGAGGA